CCAGACUUGUACCCUCCUGAACGGUGUCGAGAGCGUUCAUCUUGGUAGUCAGGAUUCUCAGUCUGGGAAUAGGCGAGUGGAUCUUGCACAAAAGAGACGGUGGUAUAAGGGUAUUAUGGGUCUCUGGUACCGAGACAACAUUAGGAAACUGCGUACUGGUACGACCUUCACAUUCAGACUGCUCGUCCUCCAAAGCUGCUAUGCAACGAGCACCCAGUUCAUCAAAGACCAGGUCCAUGAGGGGAUCACCAGUGCUAUAUAACCCCUCAACAUCUUCG